rnacentral:ncRNA from 1 species
AGUAUGAAAGAAUGAGGCUAGUCCCAACCCCUGGAAGUAGUGGGCCCCCUUACGUUUUUUUGAUGGUGCUAGAGAAAUCACUUACAGUGACACUAAGACACGGCCCAGACUCCUACAAGAGGCAGCAGUGGGGAAUUUUCCGCAAUGGGCGAAAGCCUGACGGAGCAAUGCCGCGUUGAGGUAGAAGGCCCACGGGUCGUGUCGUAUGAAGAGCUGAGCUACCCAUUUUUCUAGUCGUAUCUCGAAAGUUGAACCAGCUUCUCUUCCCCCGUGCGUGGAGCUAUCUAUUC